AAUAAGCUAAAUAAGGGCGUAUGGCGGAUGCCUAGGCUCUCAGAGACGAUGAAGGACGCGAUAAGCUGCGAAAAGUUGCGGGGAGAAGCACAUAUUUUAUGAUCCGCAAAUAUCCGAAUGGGGCAACCCGGCAUGUUGAAGACAUGUCACCUCGCAAGAGGGGUAAACCCGGUGAACUGAAACAUCUAAGUAACCGGAGGAAGAGAAAACAAUAGUGAUUCCGUUAGUAGUGGCGAGCGAACGCGGAACAGCCCAAACCUAACUUGUUACGGCAAGUUAGGGGUUGUAGGACCACAAUAUUUGAUGCACAAUGAAUUAGAAUCCUUUGGAAAGAGGAACCGAAGAGGGUGAU
rnacentral:rRNA from 1 species